CUAUCAUAUCCUUGGAUGUUUGAAACACACUUGCAGGAUAUUGCUUGCAUGACCGAUUUGGUCAUUGUGGCGUCAAUUAGUGAAUGGAAUUCCUCAGAUUUAAUUUGCUCUUGUGAAGCUAUUUCAUCCCCAGAGAGCAAUGGGUCUUCAGACUGGGCAAGAGGCAAGGGAGCAUUAGCAGAGCUAACAGAAGAUUCAACAGUGG